UGACCUUUUUUGAGGAAAUCCAAUUAUGCACCAUGAAAGUACAUGUCAAAUGGAGUUUGUGCAUGAAAAGAUCACCCAAUUUGGACACCCCAUGUGGAAGUUAUGCCCCUCUGAUUAUGGGUCAUUUUUGAAAUUGAAUGGACCAUAACUUGCCAACCAUACAUGGGAAAUUCAAGUUCUUGGACUUUUUGGAAUGGUGAGGACAAGAUCUUCAACUUUCAUGUUGGACAAAUUUUGAUUUGAAGCUUGUAUCAUGAAGUAAAUUUGAGGAGCAAAACUUUCCA
rnacentral:lncRNA from 1 species